GUCGAGCGGUAGCACAGAGAGCUUGCUCUCGGGUGACGAGCGGCGGACGGGUGAGUAAUGUCUGGGAAACUGCCUGAUGGAGGGGGAUAACUACUGGAAACGGUAGCUAAUACCGCAUAACGUCGCAAGACCAAAGUGGGGGACCUUCGGGCCUCAUGCCAUCAGAUGUGCCCAGAUGGGAUUAGCUAGUAGGUGGGGUAACGGCUCACCUAGGCGACGAUCCCUAGCUGGUCUGAGAGGAUGACCAGCCACACUGGAACUGAGACACGGUCCAGACUCCUACGGGAGGCAGCAGUGGGGAAUAUUGCACAAUGGGCGCAAGCCUGAUGCAGCCAUGCCGCGUGUGUGAAGAAGGCCUUCGGGUUGUAAAGCACUUUCAGCGGGGAGGAAGGCGUUAAGGUUAAUAACCUUGGCGAUUGACGUUACCCGCAGAAGAAGCACCGGCUAACUCCGUGCCAGCAGCCGCGGUAAUACGGAGGGUGCAAGCGUUAAUCGGAAUUACUGGGCGUAAAGCGCACGCAGGCGGUCUGUCAAGUCGGAUGUGAAAUCCCCGGGCUCAACCUGGGAACUGCAUUCGAAACUGGCAGGCUAGAGUCUUGUAGAGGGGGGUAGAAUUCCAGGUGUAGCGGUGAAAUGCGUAGAGAUCUGGAGGAAUACCGGUGGCGAAGGCGGCCCCCUGGACAAAGACUGACGCUCAGGUGCGAAAGCGUGGGGAGCAAACAGGAUUAGAUACCCUGGUAGUCCACGCCGUAAACGAUGUCGAUUUGGAGGUUGUGCCCUUGAGGCGUGGCUUCCGGAGCUAACGCGUUAAAUCGACCGCCUGGGGAGUACGGCCGCAAGGUUAAAACUCAAAUGAAUUGACGGGGGCCCGCACAAGCGGUGGAGCAUGUGGUUUAAUUCGAUGCAACGCGAAGAACCUUACCUGGUCUUGACAUCCACAGAACUUUCCAGAGAUGGAUUGGUGCCUUCGGGAACUGUGAGACAGGUGCUGCAUGGCUGUCGUCAGCUCGUGUUGUGAAAUGUUGGGUUAAGUCCCGCAACGAGCGCAACCCUUAUCCUUUGUUGCCAGCGGUUAGGCCGGGAACUCAAAGGAGACUGCCAGUGAUAAACUGGAGGAAGGUGGGGAUGACGUCAAGUCAUCAUGGCCCUUACGACCAGGGCUACACACGUGCUACAAUGGCAUAUACAAAGAGAAGCGACCUCGCGAGAGCAAGCGGACCUCAUAAAGUAUGUCGUAGUCCGGAUUGGAGUCUGCAACUCGACUCCAUGAAGUCGGAAUCGCUAGUAAUCGUAGAUCAGAAUGCUACGGUGAAUACGUUCCCGGGCCUUGUACACACCGCCCGUCACACCAUGGGAGUGGGUUGCAAAAGAAGUAG
rnacentral:rRNA from 1 species